rnacentral:rRNA from 1 species
ACACGUAGGGGGCGAGCGUUGUCCGGAAUUACUGGGCGUAAAGGGCGCGUAGGCGGCCCAAUAAGUCUGAUGUGAAACCCCCGGGCUUAACCCUGGGCCUGCAUUAGAAACUGUUGGGCUUGAGGACAGGAGAGGAAAGCGGAAUUCCCAGUGUAGCGGUGAAAUGCGUAGAUAUUGGGAGGAACACCAGUGGCGAAGGCGGCUUUCUGGACUGCACCUAACGCUGAGGCGCGAAAGCCAGGGUAGCGAACGGGAUUAGAUACCCCGGUAGUCCUGGCCGUAAACGAUGGAUACUAGGUGUGGGAGGUAUCGACCCCUUCCGUGCCGUAGCCAACGCACUAAGUAUCCCGCCUGGGGAGUACGGCCGCAAGGCUGAA